rnacentral:rRNA from 1 species
AGUAACAUCCGGAAACGGGUGCUAAUACCGCAUAGUUUUCUUGAUCGCAUGAUUGAGAAAGGAAAGACGGCCUUUGUGCUGUCGCUUAUGGAUGGACCCGCGGCGUAUUAGUUAGUUGGUGAGGUAACGGCUCACCAAGACGAUGAUACGUAGCCGACCUGAGAGGGUGAUCGGCCACAUUGGGACUGAGACACGGCCCAAACUCCUACGGGAGGCAGCAGUAGGGAAUCUUCCGCAAUGGACGAAAGUCUGACGGAGCAACGCCGCGUGAGUGAAGAAGGGUUUUUUACGGGAUCGCAAAACUCUGUUGUCAGAGAAGAACAAGUUGGAGAGUAACUGCUCCAGCCUUGACGGUAUCUGACCAGAAAGCCACGGCUAACUACGUGCCAGCAGCCGC